rnacentral:lncRNA from 9 species
GCAACUGCCAAAAACAGCACCAUGUUGAAUAUUGUCAGCUUUUGUCCAUCUGCUUUUCCCAGAGACUUAGCUUCUUUCUUGCAUUUCCAGAAUCUUGAAGGAAGAAGGGAGCCAAAUUCUGGCACACUUCUUGUCUCCUGCUGUGCUGCUCUACGUAUGAGGAGUGUCCAGACACACAUCUGGAACCAUGCAGGUCUGAGGCGAUGUUCUCCCCAGUUCGCAUCAGUUAAGGAGAGGAAAAAAAGACACAUCCGCACUUGGAGAAAUAGAUAAAAGAAAUGCUCAGCACACAUACCAGAAAUAGAAAACGCAAGCCUCUGACACCAGCAGGUGUUCACAGGUAAGAUGGUGAGUGAGGCAAGCAUUGGCAGAGAGACUGGUAUGAAACUACAGAGUUGGGUAAGGUUAAUUCUGGAAGACUCCCUCUAGGAUUGAGGUGAGUUCCGAAGCACCCAUAGAGGGUUGAAAAUGAAAGUGUCUUUUUUUUUAACUGACAUAUAGUUGAUUACAAUAUUACAGUUAGUUUCAGGCAGAGAGCAUAGUGAUUCAUUGCUUUUAUAUAUCGUACUUCACUUGAAGUUUUUACAAAAUAAUAGCUAUAUUUCGCAGCACCAUACAAUAUAUUCUUGUUGCUUAUUUAUUUUAUACGUAGUAGUUUGUAUCUCUUAAUCACGUACCCCUAUCUUGCCCCUUUCCCCCCAGUAACCACUAGUUGUUCUUUAUAUCUGUGAGUCUGUUUCUGUUUUGUUAUAUAUAUUCAUUCAUUUGUUUUCCUUCUUCCUUCCUUCCUUUUUCUUUUUUUUUUUUAUUCCAAGAGAAGGAAGUCUAACAACAGGAUAGUAUAUUGGACAGAAGCCAAUCCUACAUUCAGCAAAGUGUGGGGACAUAUCCCACUAAGGAUAUGAGAAAUUAUUUCAUGGGGUACACAGGCAUUAAACAAUGUAUAAUCACACAAUGACAGUUACUCCCCUGCCAACAUGUUCAAUUCUUUUGAUUGCAUCAAGAAGAAAGUCUUGGUUUGUGCUAGACUAUCUUUAACAAUUCUCUAAUAUUUAAUAACCCAUUUUAACAAAGAAGAUCAAAGAAGAUCAGCCAUCAGGAAACAGAAUAUAUAAUGAUUAAAAAUAGUUUUAUUUUCAUUGUCUAUUUUCCUGAUUCCCUUCUGCUUAUUUUUAUUCCAUUCACCCUGAUUAUAUUUUUAAAAAUUUAAGUAGAUUUAAACAUUAAAGGGAAGUAAAUUUAAAAUACUAAGGUAAUGGAGUUCCCUGGUGGCCAAGCAGUUAAGGAUCCAUUGUUGUCACUGCUGUGGCUAGGGUUUGAUCCCUGACCUGGGAAUUCCUGCAUGCUGUGGGUGCAGCCAAAAAAAAAAAAAAAAAUUAAAGCUGUAUACCACCUAAUAAUAUAGGUGGUAUACAGCUAGGGCAACCACGGAUAACAGUGGCCCAAUAAUGAGAGAAACUGAAACACUGAUGGAGCCCAUCUCUCUCAUAAGGAAAUCGAUGAGGAAAUCAAGAAUCAGAUAAUGCAAGUUACUCUUUUCCAAGACUGCAUAGCUGGCUAUCCUUAGAACUGAAAU